rnacentral:rRNA from 1 species
UACGGCUACCUGUUACGACUUCACCCCAGUCAUGAAUCUCACCGUGGCAAGCGCCCUCCUUGCGGUUAGACUACCUGCUUCCGGUGGAACCCACUCCCAUGGUGUGACGGGCGGUGUGUACAAGACCCGGGAACGUAUUCACCGCGACAUGCUGAUCCGCGAUUACUAGCGAUUCCGACUUCACGGAGUCGAGUUGCAGACUCCGAUCCGGACUACGACGCGCUUUCUGAGAUUAGCUCCCCCUUGCGGGUUGGCAACCCUCUGUACGCGCCAUUGUAUUACGUGUGAAGCCCUACCCAUAAGGGCCAUGAGGACUUGACGUCAUCCCCACCUUCCUCCGGUUUGUCACCGGCAGUCUCAUUAAAGUGCCCAACUAAAUGAUGGCAACUAAUGACAAGGGUUGCGCUCGUUGCGGGACUUAACCCAACAUCUCACGACACGAGCUGACGACAGCCAUGCAGCACCUGUGUUAUCGUUCCCUUUCGGGCACACCCACAUCUCUGCGGGUUUCAAUACAUGUCAAGGGUAGGUAAGGUUUUUCGCGUUGCAUCGAAUUAAUCCACAUAAUCCACCGCUUGUGCGGGUCCCCGUCAAUUCCUUUGAGUUUUAAUCUUGCGAUCGUACUCCCCAGGCGGUCAACUUCACGCGUUAGCUACGUUACCAAGCCCGUUAAGACCCGACAACUAGUUGACAUCGUUU